UACGUAGGGUGGGAGCGUUGUCCGGAAUUAUUGGGCGUAAAGAGCUUGUAGGCGGUUUGUCGCGUCUGCCGUGAAAAUUCGAGGCUCAACCUCGAACUUGCGGUGGGUACGGGCAGACUAGAGUGCGGUAGGGGAGAUUGGAAUUCCUGGUGUAGCGGUGGAAUGCGCAGAUAUCAGGAGGAACACCAAUGGCGAAGGCAGAUCUCUGGGCCGUAACUGACGCUGAGGAGCGAAAGCAUGGGGAGCGAACAGG
rnacentral:rRNA from 1 species